UUUUUGGAGACAGGGUCUCACCUUGUUGCCCAGGAUGGAGUGCAGUGGCAUGAUCUCAGCUCCCUGCAACCUCUGCCUCCCUGGCUCAAGCCAUCCUCCCACAUCAAGCUACUGAGUAGCUGAGACUACAGCUCGACUCUGAUUUGAAGAGUAGGAUGGUUAAGGACAUCAGAAAGAAUUUCACAGAGAAAAGGGUCGAAACAGAGCAUGCAAAACCACAAAGAGUCUCAGUCUUUUGCCCUCACCCAGGCAGGAGUGCAGUGGUGCAAUCUUGGCUCUCUGCAGCCUCCACCUCCUGGGCUCAAGCGAUCCUCCAAUCUCCACCUCCCGAGUAGCCGGGACUACAGCCAUGCGAAGAUGUACCUGCUUCUGCUUCAUCUUCUGCCCUGAUUGUAAGUUUCCUGAGGCCUCUCCAGAAGCAGAAAUCUGGAAAGUCUGCAGAACUGUGAGCAGAUUAAACCAUUUUUCUUUAUAAAUUACCCAGUCUCAGGUAUGUCUUUAUAGCAAUGUGAGAACUAAUACACUCAGACUGAGAAAAGUUAGUGACUUAUCUAACAAUAUAUAAUACCUCUCAAUUCAGUUUUCUUAUUAUUCUGAGGAAAUGUUUUAAACACAUGUGAGUUUGAAAGUAAAGUAAAUUAUAGUAAAUUUAGGCACAUUAUUAUAAUAAGAAAAAGUACUCAAAAGGUAAUUGCAAUAGUUUAUGAAUAUUAACAUAGUCUAAAAUGUGUACCACACAUUCACUUUCUCUAAACCUAUUAAAUGGAAUCAAGAUUCUGAAAAAAACUGCAAGAAAACAAUUAUUUAUGUCCAGUGUUGUCUUAAAAUGUCAUUGUAAAUUGCAAGAUUAUUUAUUCCUUUUUUUGUUUUUUAUUUCGUGUUUAGUUGACCAGAUGUUAUCCACAGAUAACUUCCCAUAAGAAUUAAAUAUAGAGCCAAAAGUAUUGCAUUAAAAAUAUUGUCAGUGAGAUAGAAAUCCAGGAACUGUAUGUGAGAAACCUUAAUCCUUCUCUUUAUUUCACAAGUUGGGAACAAGUUCCAGUAGUAAGUAGGCAGGUGGUGUAAUGAAUAUUUUACUAUAUAAGAAAAUCCAGAAGUUACUUUCAGCUCUAGGUCUGCCAUGUAAAAGCUUUGGGACUAUGAAUAAAUUAUUUAAUUUUUAAAUCACACUGUCCUCAUCUGCAAAAUAAAAUAUACUAGCCUAAAAUAAAAAUAAUCUAGUCUAAAUGCACUUUAAGAUCCUUUUUAGCUUUAACUUUACUUUUGUAGAAAGCUUCAGAGGGAUUUUGACAUGCAUUAAGGGAUAAUGGGAUAAUUUCACUAAAUGUGUUAGAAUGAGGAAAAUAAAAUUCGUUAUUAGUGCAUCAGGAACAUAAAGAAAUGUUGAAUGGAUUUUCCAUGGGAGACAACAAUGGCUCCAUCCAAGGUUAUAGGAAAAAAAAUAAAGUGAUAGAAUAUAUCUUCGAAAGUAGCUUUUAACAUAUGUGCAGAGAAUUGACACGGCACUAAGAUAUUUAUAUUUUAAUCUAUUAUUCUGGUAAUAUUGCACAAUAUGGGGCUUGAAUCACAUGACAUUCAAAAAUAGGUUUGGUAAAUCAUUUUGAACUUCAUUUUGAACAUGUCUGCAUGGACAUAGGAAAUGGAAUGUUGAGUCUGUUUAAGAGGUUUAAGAGAGAAGAAGAAACAAGUUAGGGAGAGAUUCUAGGGAAAGGGGACGCAGGCAAGAGGGGUAUGUAUUCACAACAUUGUAUUACUCCCUUAUAACAGGGACUCUUGCAGACUGAGAUUACAUUUUGGAAGAGAGAGAGUUGAAAUUAAUGUUGACUUCUGGAAAUCAAGCCUUAUAUUAGGUCACAAAUGUACCAAAGAGGUACAAAUGAAGAAAUAAUAAAUGAAAUAAUUUAUAAGACAGGUUAUAUGUGUGGAGGGAAACUCUCUGCAUGCUGCAUAAGUAGGAGUUCUGGAAAAUGCCAACUCUUUUCUCAUGUGUUACUUUAGACAUCAUUCCUCCAUUAAGCCAUUCUGAACCUAUCUAAGUCUGGAUUUUGUGCCCUCUGAUAGACCGGGACAAAUGUAGCCCAUAAGAACUUGUAUCAGUCACGAUUGUCUUUAUGCUUGCCUUUUCCCCCACUCAGAAGGUGCACAGGCAGGUUUUAUCUUAAGCAUUGUUGGGCAUUGCACUUAGCUCCAUUUUUGCCAUGUAGUAGGCUGACACAAUGAACUAAUGGUCUGUGGUGGCAGAAAUUAAGCUUGUUUGCAAAGAAACACAAUAUAACAAUAACAAUAAAUACAUCAAAAAAUAGAUGUGAAAACAGAAGUGAAGUGGUUAAAAGCUAGGGUUCUGAUGAGGAGGAGUGUUUCUUAUAUAAGAUGAACCUAUUACUGUGUCAUCAAGAAUCAGUAUCUUCAUGAUUUUCAGCCUUAGUUUCCAAAUUUGUAAAACGGAGACAACAACAAUGUCUAUCUCAUAGGGGAUUUUAGAAGUUGAAAUGAAAUAAUACAUGCUCAUGUAUAACCUAUGUAUAUGUAAUACAAGACUAAGUGCUCAAAAAUGUUUACCAUUUUUAUUAACCAUAACUUCUCCUAUAAAUGUCAUUAGAAUACAGAAAAACAAGGAAGGAUUUUCUCACAACAAUUAAGUGUGUUAAAAGUAAUAUAGAUUAUUUUGUAUCAGGAAGAAAUUUCAUCCAGCGUAAACACUUUUCAUUUCAAAAAGUAUGAGAUUAGAAAUUGUAUUCUUUCAAAACUGUAGUCAGACUGUAUAUUUCCAGUGCCUGGCACAUAUCUGUCAAAUAUGCAAAGCCAUUUCGUUUCAUUUUUUUUUUAUUAUUAUGCUUUAACUUCUGGGAUACAUGUACAGAAUGUGCAGGUU